rnacentral:rRNA from 1 species
AGUUUAAGAAUGCUUAAUGGCUGUACCUUUUGUAUCAGGGGAGUUUAAAAUUAUAGUAAAGAUUAUAUAGAUUUGACUGGAACCUUAUAUAAAAUCUAGUAGUGUAAUUUGGUAGGUUGAUGUAUUACGAGGUAAGAUGUUUACGGCGGUUUUAUUAUCUAAUUAUUUUGUUAGUGGGGGGAUAAGCUCUCGUAAAUUUACUGGGUAAGUAAGUGUUAAGAGAACUAGGCUUUAUAUUAGUUAGGUUCUUACGUUGUUUUAAAUAAUCUUUAGAUCAAGAAUUGACAGUAAAGUUAUUGAUUUGACGGCGAAGUAUAGCGAUUUUUGUUCACAAUGAAUUUAUUGCACGCGCUAUAAAAUCUUAAAAUGACUCAGAUUUGGCCAGAUAGUUUAGCAAAAACAUUUCCAUUCGAGGCAGGAGAGGUAAAGCCUGCCCGGUGAUAAAUUUAACGGCUGCGGUAUUUUGACUGUGCUAAGGUAGCAUAAUCAAUUGUUUUUUGAUUGAGAACUGGAAUGAAGGGUUUAACUGGCUAAGUAAGUUUGUAGGGUUGUUUGAUAGCUUAAAGACAAGGUAAGAAUUCUUUGAUUUUCUAGGGGACGAUAAGACCCUAGAAGCUUAAAAAGAAAAUAAGAGUUUAGUAACGAGAGUGAUUUUUUACUGGGGCGGUAAUAUCCCGUGAACGGUUAAAUUUAUGGUUGAUCCUUUAGAUAAAGAUGAGUCGGUUAAGUUACUCUAGGGAUAACAGUGUAAUAUUUUUGGAGAGACCAUAUCGAUAAAAGUGUUUGCAACCUCGAUGUUGAAUUAAGAUGUCUGUAUAAGGAAGCCGGUUUAUUAGAGGGUUUGUUCAACC